rnacentral:rRNA from 1 species
AGAAUCAACGCUGGCGGCGCGCCUAACACAUGCAAGUCGAACGCGAAAGUCCCGCAAGGGGCAAGUAGAGUGGCAAACGGGUGAGUAACACGUGGGUGACCUGCCUUCGAGUGGGGGAUGACGUCCCGAAAGGGACGCUAAUACCGCAUGACAUCCUGUCCUUAGACGGACGGAGAUCAAAGCUGGGGAUCGCAAGACCUGGCGCUUGAAGAGGGGCCGCGCCUGAUUAGCUAGUUGGUGAGGUAACGGCUCACCAAGGCUACGAUCAGUA